UACAGAGGUCCCAAGCGUUGUUCGGAUUCACUGGGCGUAAAGGGUGCGUAGGCGGUCGGGUAAGUCUGACGUGAAAUCUCCAAGCUCAACUUGGAAAUGGCGUCGGAUACUAUUCGGCUCGAGGAAUGGAGGGGAGACUGGAAUUCUCGGUGUAGCAGUGAAAUGCGUAGAUAUCGAGAGGAACACCUGCGGCGAAGGCGGGUUGCUGGGCUGAUACUGACGCUGAGGCGCGAAAGCCAGGGGAGCGAACGGG
rnacentral:rRNA from 1 species